rnacentral:sRNA from 1 species
AUUAUCAUAAUCUUACACGUAUGUCUUUGCACAUUUGUCUGAUUAUUUUAUUUGUAUAAGUUGGCAGAAGUGAAAUUGCUGGGUUAAAGGGAAUUGUCUGCUAGAAAAACUAGUUUAUACUCUAACCAGCAGUGUGUGAGAGUAUCUAGUUUCCCACACCCUUGCCAACAAUGAAUUUUACAAUUAUUUUUAACCUUUGAAAGUCUGACAGAUGAAAAAUACCUUAAUAUUGUCUUAUUUAGUAUAUUUUUAAAUUACUUGGUGAGGUUGAGCAUUUUUGGGGAUGUUAUUUUGCCAUUUUAAAAUUUAUUUUUUGAAUUGUUUCUUUCUUUUUUUGUAAAUCUGUUAAUUUAUGUAAUUCUGUCAUGUGCAAAUGUUUUUUCCCAGUUUUACAUUGUCAGUGGUUUACAGAAUGCAUUACUACACAAGUAAAGAAACAGUUCCAUCACUUACAGCUUGCAGACAUUUUAAGCACAAAAAUUUAAAGUUGAUCAGCCUUUCCUUUAUUAGAUGCCUUGUUACCAUGCUAUUACAAGUUUUCUGUAUUCUGAGAAUUAUAAAAAUGUUCAUUUAUAUUUUUUCUAGAACUUUUGUGACUUCAUUCUUUAAUAGCUCACUUAUUCUAAGCAAUAAAAAUUGAGAUUCCUAAGAAAAGAAACUAUAUUGUUUCUUAGAGCUUGUUUGAACAAAAUUCAAGCAGUAUGUGUGUGAUAGACACACUUGUAUAAAUGACAAUUGUACCUAAUUGAUAGAAGCAUAACAUAGGUAGUAAAUUCAAACUAUUCUAAAGUAUUCUGCAAGGUGAUACAGAUAGUAAUUAAAAAAAAUUUUUAGAAUAUUUGUCUUUUUUUGCAACCAUUUUUUUUUAAAGAAUAUGGGCAAGAUGGCAUUUUUAGAGACCUAAUUUUAUUCAUCUUUAGAGAAGUAAAUUUUAUUUGUUUACCUUUUAAAGUAAGGUGUAAAAUAUAAAAUAUUUAAAAAUUGUAAUUAUUUAGCAAAUAUUUAUUGAGCAGAACCAGCUUUCAGAGACUGUUUAAACUAGUGAGAGAUAACCUAGUGAGAGACAAAUAAUUGUAAGUAAAAUACAUUCUAGAGGCAUGAUUGUUAUAUAGGUUUUGUAUGGAUUAAACAUCAGUCCAUAUUUUUAAAAUUGUGCACAAUCUGUUUUCUUUGUCAGCAUUUCAGUUUAUGUCCUGUUUUUCCCACCCUGCGCAGAAGAGGGUGUAUUUACUUAACUUUUCUUAACCCCUCUACCCACAGUUUAGCUUCCACUCUAUCUUAGCAUUAUUAAAUUAUUGGGAACAAGUUUAGACACUCAAGAAUAAAAAUGUAAAAUUAUUAGUUUUUCCUAUAUUAUAGGCAUUAGUGGUGUGGAUAUUAAUCAAGAAGAAAACUUUAAAUCUUUUCUUACCUGAACUUUGUUGAGAAAUUCACUUCAGUUCUCUCCCUUCAAGCCUUGAUAUGACAUGCCGUAAAUCCACAUCUACCAUAUCUAUAUCUUACUUUGAAUGAAAUUUUCUUUUUAAAUAGAAUUUUGGGCCUGGAUGUUGAGCUUUUUCCUUAAAUAUGUGUGCAAACCCGCCCCUAUGUUUUUUCUUUCUUAGAUGCCCGUCCCAUUUUCAAAUAAUAUUUCUUAUUUCCUAAUAAUUCAGUUAAAAAUACCUUCCCUAGCUUCUUGCUUCUUUGAGAACCCAGAUCUGUUGCUGUUAAUUUGUUAGUCUUGUGCUUUGUUAGUGUUCCCAUGCUAAAUUUUGCUAAGUUUGUGAAAUGCACUUUUGAGUUUGUAAAAGCGCGUUGAUUGACCUGAGUGGUAGGCUGCUUAGAGGAGAGGCAUGAAAUAAUGAGUACACGAGUGAACUGAAUUGGGUUCUCUGUGAAAUUGCUAUGGUGAACACGAUAUGUAAAAUUGGUUUGUACACCAAUAGCCACAAACAUUGCUGUUUUUCUUAGGGAUUUUUAAAUAAUAAAAUAAAUUUAAAAACCUAAAUUAAAUGGAAUCAAUAUUGGCUUUGGUUAAUAAGACUUUGGCAUUGCAAGGGAGCCAGAAAAACCUGUUGCACUCAACUCAGCUCUUUGAAGAGAGUUGUAGAAAUUGGGGGUGGACUGGAGCAGAAACUAGAAUUGUGUUAGAUUAUGACAUCCUUGCCCUUGAGACAACAGCAUGACUCCUCCUUGUCUUUACUUAUGCUAUUCCUCUGCCUGGAAUGCCUUCCCUCCUUUCUAUCUAAAUCCUACCCACCUCCUCCACGAAGCCUUCUCUAACUACUGGAGCCCACAUUGAUGUCUCCCUGUUCAGAACACCUAUGGCAUCUAACAGCCAGCACUGCACCGUUUAGCACUGUUUGUCCUAUGGCAAUUUCACAUGCUACUGAGUGUGAGUACAUUAAAAUAUAAAUGUGGGGAAAUAUGCAUUUUUCCAGUAAAUUUGAAAAACGAUAGGUGUAUUGUAUACAGGAGGAUUUACAGGCUAUAGAAAGUUUUACAGGAUAUGCCUAAACUGUGAGAUUGGGGGAGGAGGGGAGUUGGGGAGGGGGCUAAAUGUACUUUUUUAAAAAAAACUCAGAAACAUUGUAAAGUUUAUACAAAUUGUUUUGUCCAAAGUGUCAUGUUUUUUAAAAACUAAUUUAUUUUUAUUCAGUAACUAGCCUAAUUUUUUUUUUUAUUUUAAAAGGUUGAGAAAUAACAUUUUCUGUAGUGUUUAAUACUAUUCAAAUGAUCAAUUCUGGGAUCAAAAAAGUUUUCUUCUUGCUUAGGCUAAGAUACCUCUGUUCACCCAUCUAAUCUCAUAUCUUCUAAACCCUGCUCUUGGUAUCAAAUACUGAAAUGUAAUAAAUGUCAAAUUUUGUGAUGUGGAGAAAACUGUAUUUUAUUAUAUCUCUUGUGUCUAAUUCUGGGUAUCUUUUACAUGGUUAAUAUGGAGGGAAUUUUAAAUGUAAAGAUAAUUUUGAUUUGUAUUUAUCUCAUCUAAUGCUAAGGGAGUUCAGACCAUUGCUUUAGCUAGAUUUAAGAAAAAGCUUCCUCCAAGUCAGUGUAUAUUCAGAGUGUGGCCACACAAGUAUGAAUAAAUAUUCUUAAAUCAUAUUAAAGUCUGCUAAAGCUGCCUGUAUCUUUUAAUUGUACCUGUGAUCAGUUACGCAUUCAUUCUUUGGUUUAAAUAUAUUUUUGAUUAUCUGACACCAUGACUUUUGAAUACAGACCACAUUUAGUUUCCUAUAUAAUUAAGUGGAUCAGGCUUAUGCGUAGAAUUUGUGAAUGGUUCUGAUAGAAGAAUAAAUAGCUUUAUUGUACAUUCUUUACAUAUGAAAUGUCCUUUUAAUUACAUAAUUCUUGAGCAUAUUUACAUUUGGACAACAAUCACAUUAAUUCUGGAGUAAGGUUAAUAUAUAAAAUGUAUAUGCUUGAAAUAACAUAAAUUUUCAUUCAAACUGAUUUUAAAUGGUUUUGGUUUCUGAUUGACUUUGUAAUGAUAAUGUCUUCUAUUUAAAAUUCAACAUGGGGAUAUAUAAUAUAAAUGGUAAUGUCCAUUUGAAUAUUUUCAUAUAAGUAUAUAUUAUUCUGUGUGUGUUUUUUAGAGGUACCAAUCUUGGGAAAAAGAAGCAACACAUUUGUCAUAUACCAGGAUGUGGUAAAGUCUAUGGGAAGACCUCACAUCUGAGAGCUCAUCUGCGUUGGCAUUCUGGAGAACGUCCUUUUGUUUGUAACUGGAUGUACUGUGGUAAAAGAUUUACUCGAAGUGAUGAAUUACAGAGGCACAGAAGAACACAUACAGGUGAGAAGAAAUUUGUUUGUCCAGAAUGUUCAAAACGCUUUAUGAGAAGUGACCACCUUGCCAAACAUAUUAAAACACACCAGAAUAAAAAAGGUAUUCACUCUAGCAGUACAGUGCUGGCAUCUGUGGAAGCUGCGCGAGAUGAUACUUUGAUUACUGCAGGAGGAACAACGCUUAUCCUUGCAAAUAUUCAACAAGGUUCUGUUUCAGGGAUAGGAACUGUUAAUACUUCCGCCACCAGCAAUCAAGAUAUCCUUACCAACACUGAAAUACCUUUACAGCUUGUCACAGUUUCUGGAAAUGAGACAAUGGAGUAAAUAUUACACAAAUACUUAUUCAUUGUGGUUAUUUUUAUACAGUAGUGAGAAGAAUAUUGUUCCUAAGUUCUUAGAUAUCUUUUUAUUGAUGUGCAAAAAUUUUUGGAUUGACAGUAACUUGGUUAUACAUGACACUGAAAUGCCUUACUUUGUAUGAUAUUCCAUAGUAUAUUAAAAAUGGUAAAAUUGCAUGGGUUUUGUAGGUACUUUUGGAAUCUAGAAGAAAUGAAAUUUUACCAAGUUAUAUAAAGAGAAAAUUGAAUUUAACAAUGCGAAUGGUAGUCUAACCAAAUGCAUCAAUCCUGUGUGGUUUAGUGUAAAAAUGAGAACAUGUUGGUAUUUAUCUAUUGUAAGAUAAAAAAGCUGGUGGGUGAAAGAAAUCAUGUUAUGAUAAAAAAUUUUGUAAUUUUCUUGAUGACUGGAAUUUUUAUUAUGCAUAACUGACAAAUCAAGUUUCCAAGCAAAUGUUACAUAGUGUAGGCUUUACUUAGCUUAUCAAUUUGUCAUUUUGAAGCUAAUUAUUUUAAUUAGGUUAACUAUGUACAAUAUUUUAAGCAUUACUCUUGUAAGAUUUUGAAAACUACAUUUUAACAUGGAACUCUAGGGAUAGUCACCUUUUAAAUCCUGUUGAAAAGCCAUGUUUAAGAUUUAAUUUGCCAAAAUAAUGUCUUGUUAAUAUUCUUUCAAUAACGAAGUUGGGCAAUAUAACCAAUGUUUAAAAAAGUUUAAAAUGUAUAAGUUGAGGCAUUUGGGUGGUAAGAGAAUGUUAUAGUGAAUUAUCCCUUUCCUUGACUAUUGGAGGACCAAAAAAAAUAAGGUGUAUUGCGUCUUAGCAGUGAUUUUUAUCCAAUCUUGUUUCCAAAAACCAUGUCUCCCAGGGCCUUAAAAGCCAUCAUGUAAAUUACCAGUAAAGUAUAACAUAUGCAAACAUAACAAAAUCACUUCCAUAGUGACGAUACUCCAACCAUAUGGAUAUUAGUCAUAGAAGAACUAGAGGUUUUAUGAUAUUUUUUUAAGUCUUUUUUUUUUGUCUAGGUAGUCAGUCUGCACUUAAAUAUCAAUCAUUUUCCUUUUUUGCUUCUUCCCUUAAAAUUUAUAUGUAUCCAGUACAUUUAAUUGAGAAACGUAUGUUUUUUAUUAUGCUGUAUUUUCUUUUUAUUUUUUAAUUAUUGUUUAUAUUUUCAAUUUAAAAAUGUACAAAAUAAAGUUACAUUGCUGGUCUUGUAAGAGCUAUACAAUUUUCCUAAAUGUAUACCUGUAACUGCAGCAGUUCACCUAUUUCAAAAAUUUGGAAUUCUGUUCAUUUGUUAUUCUUAAGACCACCUCAAAUUUAAAGGCUACCUUAUUGUACGUUUAAAGUGUAUUAUAACAGUGUGGUAGUUAAUAAAACACUAUUUUUUUUUCUUUU